CUUUUGAAGAGAGAAGAUACAAGUAAUGCGAAUUGAAGAGAUAGUGACGAUUUUGGGAUUGUAGCCGACACUGGAGUACCAUUUCUUUUAUAAAAGGGAUACAUCGGCUAAGAGAGGAUAUCGAUCAAAGAGGGCAAAGAACGAGAGUAGUGACAAUAUUCAGCAAAGCAAUAGAAUGGGGUGGUGAAAUGUUGGGUCACUGCUUGUUCCUCUAGCUAAUGGUCUCUAGGUUUAUGGAGUACUAGGCUUUGGAGGCAUUUGGAAUUUAGCUAUCCUGUGAGCGUUUCCUCCAACUAUGCAUGGCGUCGGUGGCAUGUAGAAGAUCAAACCAUACUACCCGAGUCUUGAUUGUCCAACUUGGAUAAAAGGUUACAAUUGUAUGGUACUGCUACAUGGCGUCUAACCAAGAAACACAGGUUGUCAUAUGUGACGAAGCGCUCUAUCCCAUUAGUACCGUUCACGUACUCACUUGCCAAAUUGGACUAGGAAAUAUUUGCCAUUGGCUUCAGCAAUGGAAUGAUACAAAAUCAGGAAACACUUUAUAUUUGUAGUAUGAUACAGGCCAAUAGACAGACCUGUCGACUGCCAUUGAUUCCCUUUAAAUCCCAUGGUCCCAACUUUGCUUGAUAUGAAAAAAAAUCCCGUCGAAGAGGAGCUAACCACCGC
rnacentral:lncRNA from 1 species